UAAAUAAUUCAGUUCUUUAAUUAAUAAAGGAAGUAGAUAAUGUAGUGUAAAACUUUCUAAAUAUACUUCAUAGCCGGCUUCUCUCUUAUUUUUAGAGAGAGAGUCCUCUCUCGAAUCCUAUUCUUCUUAUCAAUUUCAGAUCUUUGAGAAGAAGAGCUUUCACCAUCUGGAUUUUUUUUUCAUCAUCGGACUCUUCUGAUUUAUGUUUUCUGAUGGUUCAGGCUUUUGACUCCUAGAAGUGAUGGUUCUCUCAACGUUGCCUUCACCGGAGUUCGUCUCCCGGAAAGAAGAUCGGAGUUCUUUUGUAUCGAUCGAAGACAGUGGUAUAUCUCUCCUGAAGCGAUGAUUCUGACCUUACAUGAAGACUGCUUUUUUGGUCUUUCACCGAUCUGUUUUCGCUGAUGGCGGAACUCUGACGUGACUCUUUCCAGUGGAGGUGGUGGCUCUCUAUCUUGACGCGUGUUUUCAGAAUUGUCAGUUGAUUGUGUACGUGGUGGCAAGUGUCACUUAACUUCCUCUAUGGUUUUCUCUAUUGGGCUUAUGACCCAUAGAAUUUUGUAGAUAUAGAUUGUUGUUUAGGUCUUCUAUUACUUUGUAUUGGGUUUAGUACUUCGUUGGGCUUUGACUUAUAAAUAGAAAAUAAAAACAGACAAAAAAACAUAAUGUUGUAAAAGAAAAUCAUGGGCAGAGUGAAACGAGUGUUGCUUGUAAGCUUCUUUAAAAUCAUUUUGUUGUUAUCGUCUCUU